rnacentral:lncRNA from 1 species
CCCACGCCGGCCCGGCUCCCAGCGCGCCCCUCCCUGAAGCGGUGGGUCCGGUCGCCCGGGGGCCUCCCGGGAGCAGAUGGAGGAGGAGACUUCGGGGGCGGAGCCCAGGAGCGCCGAGUGAAAGAUCGGGGGUCCCCCUCAGCAGCCGCCCCUUCCUUUCCUCCCCCUCUUCUUCUCCGAGCACGCGCUCGCGCGCGCUCAGGGAUACCGACUCCCUCCCCUUUUGGGAAAGGCGGGCAGUCCCCGCGGGGGCCGGUCUCCUGGGGAGCGGGACCAGACAGGGGCGGGGAAGCAGCCCCCGCCGCUCCCUGGCCAGGGCGCGGGGAGAAGCGGGAGGCGCGGGCUGAUGGAGAGCUGAGAAGGGGCAGCCGGGGCGGCCGGAGCCACAGCCGGGGCCACAGCCGCGUCCCUCUCUCUCUUUCCUCUUUCCCUCCCUCCCAGGCUCGGGCAUCUCUCCCCGCCGGCAGGCGGCUGUCCGGAGGCAGGAGCGCAGGCCGGCCUGGAGGUGGUGCUCGCUGGCCCGCCUCGGCCGCUGCCAGGCUCCUCCGCGCGUUGCCCGGACAGCUGCGCUGUGCCUCCCGGAGGGGGAGGAGCGGCCGGCGGCCGGGCGAGCGGGCGCUGGGCUCUAGCCCCUUUGCUCGCAUCGCGUCUCCCCGCCAGCAUCCCUCCCCGCGCGCCCGGCGCGCCUCGGUGUGCCGCGGGGUGCCGCGAGCGAGGCCGGCCCAGGAGCCCACGGUGGGCUAUGCCGGGGGCGCGGCGCUAACUUCCGAGGGCUUUGCCAUGGACGGGAACACCCGAGGCUGCAUCGCCUGGGUGCCGGUGCUGGGGGGCCACGGGCCUUCCUCGCGCCUCGCCCGCCGCCCCGUGCUGUGGUUAGCGGGGCUCAUGGUGCUGCUGCUGACCCUGCCGGCCUCCUGCGUAGCAGGUGUGGAUGAAAUUAAGCCAAAGGACAAAUGUGGUCCUCAGAACAGAAGCUUCCGGUCCCUGAUGGUGAAUCCUGUCAUUGUGAAACCUGAAGAGAAGAAAAUAAGCACUGGACAGAUCCCAGGUUACUAGAGGCAAAAAUUAGAUCUAGAAGAGACCUUUAUAAGAUCAUUUGGUAAAAUCUUCUAUUUUAUAAAUGAAAAAACUGAGCCCCC